rnacentral:tRNA from 4 species
UCUUCCGUAGUAUAGUGGUCAGUAUGUGAGCUUGUCAUUCCAACAACGCUCGAGACCCGGGUUCAAUUCCCGGCGGGAGAG